rnacentral:rRNA from 3 species
GACGAACCGGACAAACGUUAUUCGGAAUUACUGGGCUUAAAGGGUACGUAGGCGGUCCGGUAAGUGGGGUGUGAAAUCCCUCGGCUCAACCGAGGAACUGCGCCCCAUACUGCCGGACUUGAGGGAGACAGAGGUAAGCGGAACUGAUGGUGGAGCGGUGAAAUGCGUUGAUAUCAUCAGGAACACCGGUGGCGAAAGCGGCUUACUGGGUCUCUUCUGACGCUGAGGUACGAAAGCUAGGGGAGCGAACGGG